GUUUAAAGAAAGCAGUAAUAAAACAUGUAACUGAAUUGAUUGCAUCUUAAACCUGAGAGUCAAGUUGGGUCUCGAAAAGAUAUUUGCACACCCGUGUUCAUAGCAGCAUUAUUCACAGUGGCCAAGAGGUGCAAGCAACCAAAUGUCUGUCAGCUGGUGACUGGUUAAACAAAAUGUGGCAUAUAUACACAAUGUUCAGCCUUAAAAAAGGAAGGAAGUCCUGUUACAUGCUACAACAUGGAUGAACCAUGAGGACAUUAUACUAAGGGAAAUAAGCCAGCCGCAAAAAGACAAACACUGUAUGAUUCCACUUGUACAAUGGAUCUAAAGUGGUCAAACUCACGGAAAGAGAAAAAUAGAAGGGUGGCUACUGGAAGGUGGGUGGACAUGGGAGUUCUUGUUUAAUGGAGUUUCAGUUUUGCAAGGGAAGAAAGUUCUGGAGCUCUGUUGCACAACAAUGUGAGUAUACUUAAUCCUACUGAACCUUGUUGUACUUGAAAAUGGUUAAGGUGGUAAAUUUUAUGUUAUGCUUUUUUUUUUAACCACAAAAUUACAAUAGCAAAACAAAACCCCAAUGUCUCUUCAGGAUCACCUUGUCUGUCUACUAUUUUACAAAUGGCACAGGGAUUUGCCCAAGGUCAUCAUCCGUAUUCAAGGAGACUUGACUCAGGGUUGGAUGCUGUUCGUGCUCCAGCAGCCUGACUCUCCGGUAGUUCUGAUGAUCCUGGCACAGGGUUAUUUGGCUGGUGCGUCAUGUUAUGAGUUCAGCUGUGUCAAGUAAACUCUUGUGGGAUAAAGCCAGCUGACUCAGCGGGCAUCUGAGGAAGACAGCGUCCAGGACGGCAAGGGAAACUUCGUUAUCAAAGAGCCAUUGAGUGAUAGCAAGAAAUCAAUGGAGGCCCACAAGGUAAAUUCAUCUUAAUUUUGUGUUUUCAUAUGAGCAGAAAUGAGAGAAAAUGCCUAAAUCAUUUGCAGCAGUGAGUGACAACAGAGGUGAAUAGAAACAUGUGAAUACUCCUUAAGACAACCCCUCCCAUCCCUAGGGAAACUGCCAUGAUGACCCACUGUCACUGAUACUCUUUUAUUUAAUUCCUUCUGGCAUGCCAGGGUGGAGAAUAGACUAAGCACCCGCUGUUCCACAUUUUAACAUAGAAGGCUUAACGUACUAAUUUUCUAUCACUGUGUAACAAACGACCACAGACUAGUAGCUUUAAACAACACCUAUUUGUUAUCUCACAGUAAAAUCCAGGCAUGAAUCAACUGGGGUCUCUGUUCAAGGUCUCACAAGCUGAAAUCAAGGUGUUGGCUGGGGCCACAAUCUUAUCUGAGGCUCAAGGUCAUCCUUCAAGCUCAUUGGUUGUUAGCAGAAUUCACUCCCUGCCUCAGUAGAAAUGGGGUGUUUCCCCAGGACCCUACCUUUCCAGCAGUGCUCCCUUCCAGAAGGCUCAAAUUCUUCAGACCUCCAGUUCCUGCUCCCAAAUCAUUACUUCCCACCCUCAUUUUAAAAUGAUUCCGUUGAAACACAUGCC
rnacentral:lncRNA from 1 species